UACGUAGGGUGCGAGCGUUAAUCGGAAUUACUGGGCGUAAAGCGUGCGCAGGCGGUUUUGUAAGCCGGAUGUGAAAUCCCCGGGCUUAACCUGGGAAUGGCAUUCGGGACUGCAAGGCUGGAGUGCGGCAGAGGAGACUGGAAUUCCUGGUGUAGCAGUGAAAUGCGUAGAUAUCAGGAGGAACACCGAUGGCGAAGGCAGGUCUCUGGGCUGACACUGACGCUGAGGAGCGAAAGCGUGGGGAGCGAACAGG
rnacentral:rRNA from 1 species